GAAUGACAAGGAUGGAAAACCCAAAAUGGGACCACAUUAGUGAGAACAGUGAUGGAGGUAUGGAAUACAAUAAUAAUGAGUAAAUGCUAGAAGGUGUGCGAUGGUAUUGCGGACUACCUAAUUAGGUAGAGAAAAAGAAGUUAGUAAAUAGUAAGUUGAAUAAAAGUCAGUCUACGGGAUCAAAUAGGUAUGAUGAGAGGAAAAGAAUGAUAGAUAAUGACACAUAGGUUUUAGGUUAGACUUUUGAGAUAGUG
rnacentral:misc_RNA from 1 species